GGCCGCGUAACGCGCAUGCUCCAUGAGCGGCGCCCCCGACUCGCUGCUCGGCUCCGUUCGGGCAUUUCCGCCUCUUUGUUUUAAACUCCGGACGGGUUUUUUUCUCCUGCUCUUGGGGGGGACCCGGAGGGAGCGGCGCCCCCCCCAACUCCCGGCGCUGCCCCCGCGUGCGCCCCGCUCGCCCGCAGCCGAGACGGCAGGAUCGUGUCUCAGCCCGUGCCCUCCUUGGCCCUCUGUCCUCGUCCCCCUGUCCCGUGUGGAAGCCUCGUCCUCCAGGCCAGCCGGCCGCACAGUGGUCCUCUUGCGCUUCGGGGGUCCCUUGCCCCAUCGGUGGGGUGCCUGCUGCUCUGGCCCCUCCCUCCAGGUCCGAGGUCAGACGUCCCUCCGCACCGGCUCUCCUCUGGUCACUGUCUAAAGCAGCCCCUCCACCUGUUUCCUCUGCUUCGCUGCCUUCAUCUGCUUUCUUCAUGGUGCUCAUCACUCUCUGCUGAUGAGUUUGUCAUGUCUCGUCACCAGCUGGAACAGGAGCUCCCUGAGCACAAGGCCUGUGGUAACAUGUGAGCACUUGUUGUCUCCGUAGGCAUGCCUUGGAUGAGUAUUUGAGCACCUUUCCUGAGACGUCUGCAAACGCCAUGGCUUCCAUCCAUACUUGGCUAAUAGUUUGGCUGGAUGUAGAAUUCCACAUUAAAGUCUCUUUUCCUCAGAACUUUGAAAGAAUUGCUUCUUUUACUGGUAGGAUUCACGUUGCUGAUGAAAAGUCUGGUGCUAUCUGAUUCUCACUCCAUUGUGAACUCCUUUCCUCCCAGAACCGGUAGGACCCAUUCUUGUACCCUUGACGUCUUCAGAUUCCAGGACUUGGUUAGAUGGGGGCAUUUUCACUCACUGUGCCAGGCACUCGGGCCUUUGUGGUCUGAUGGUUCGUCCAGCUGGAGAAAUACUUGAAUAAUUUUUUCCAAAUCAUGAAAUACUGCCUAUAAAUGAGCAUAGAGAAAGAUAUAAUGAACAUCUGUGUACUCAUUACCCAGCUUAAGAAAUAAAAUAUUAAAGUAUAUUUGAAAGCUCCUUAUC
rnacentral:lncRNA from 1 species